rnacentral:rRNA from 1 species
AUGAUGGUGACGUAAAAUCUCACCAGAGUAACAAUUGGAGGGCAAGUCUGGUGCCAGCAGCCGCGGUAAUUCCAGCUCCAAUAGCGUAUAUUAAACUUGUUGCAGUUAAAAAGCUCGUAGUUGAAUUUCUGCGUUGCCCGACUCGGCUACUUGCCUUGUCUGGUUUCGCUUUUGGGGUUUUCCCCUUUUUACUUUGAGAAAAUUAGAGUGUUUCAAGCAGACUUGUGUCUUGAAUACUUCAGCAUGGAAUAAUAAAGUAGGACUUUGGUUCUAUUUUGUUGGUUUGUGAACCUUAGUAAUGGUUAAUAGGAACGGUUGGGGGCAUUCGUAUUUAACUGUCAGAGGUGAAAUUCUUAGAUUUGUUAAAGACGAACUACUGCGAAAGCAUUUGCCAAGGACGUUUUCAUUAAUCAAGAACGAAAGUUAGGGGAUCGAAGACGAUCAGAUACCGUCGUAGUCCUAACCAUAAACCAUGCCGACUAGGGAUUGGAGGUCGUCAUUU